rnacentral:lncRNA from 1 species
UUUUUAACAAAAACUAAGUACACACAAACACAACAACUUACUUGGAAGCCCACACACAAACAUAAGCCUUUUAUUUUAACCUUAUUUUUAAACAUACGAACAAUUUACGAAGUCAAAUCGUGAAUGCUUUCAAUAUGGAUUUUCGAAGGUGUUGUUUACCCUUUGGUUCUUUGUUGUCGAUGGUGAGGAGAGUUGAGUCGAGAGAAGGGUUGUGGGCUCCAUUUACGAGUGAUUACAUAUAGAAGUUUUAAGUUAGGGUUAACGGAGUGUGAGUUUAUGGUGUAUUUUAUUAUUUUUAGAAUUAAAAACUACGUCGUUUUGAAAAGCGACUCUAAUUGUGUUGUGUCCACAUGUUGACCCAUUGAACAUAACCAUGUAUAGGGCUAUGUGUGUCAUAUAUGGGUUGAAUGGUUGAACCUCUUUAGACAUGUUUUUAGUUAUGUCAUUAAGGUGAUGUUUAUGACAUGCACCCGUUUACUACAAACCCAACCCACUCAAUUCGUGUUGAGUAUUUCUCAUAAAUUUACAUAUCACACAUGUUUUGAAAAGUGAAAUAAAGUUUAUAAGGGUAUUGGAUGUCGAUGGGACUUUUUUUUUUUUCGAAAAGUGAAAUAAACUUUGUAUAUUUUAUAAGAAACAUUAUUAAGUAAUAUAUUUAUAUAUUGCUACAUAAUUCAUCACCAGAAGAUAUUGUGAUUAAAGCUAUGCAUGACCACCUCACUAGUUAUUGAAAAAGUAAACCAUGAAAUGAUAUAGGUAAAAGUUGUCACUCAUUUUGAUGGAUUUUAUAAAAAAGCAUAGAAUUACUUUAGGCGUGAAACAUGGGCCGGACUUCUACCCUACUGUUGGAAUUGGGCCCAUUCUCUUAAUAUGUUAACAUCAAUGGGUUACUAGUGGUGGAACAGUGGAAAUUGGAAAAGAAGUCCCUCUUCAUUCACACAUUCACAUUUAUUCAGACUUUAAACUUCAAACUGAGUUAACCAGCUUAGUUAAACCACGGUCAACUCGAACCUUGCUAGUUAUACGACUUGAAAAAUUUUCGAGUGACUUCAAUGAACAUAAUCCCAAUGAGCCAUGAUAUUAACAUGUAACGGGAGACGAGGAUUAAAACCAAAUACGUUUCUAGUAAUGCAUAUCUUUGAGUAAACAUAAUCCCAACGAGCCAUGAUAUUGCUAGUUCUCACAUUAGAAACACGCUUUGUGUGACGUAAAUCAGUACAUGUUGCUUGUAUGAUAUUUUAAUCAAGUUAUAGACGAUUCAUAACAAGAAAUUUAAAAAAAAAAUAACUUAGCUCUCUUAUUUUGUGAGAAGUAGAAGAGUGAAAUCUUUGGCACGUUGUAUUUCUAACUACUUAAAAUCUUUAAAAAGAUCAAGAAUUCAAUACCAAUCCAUCAUUUUCACCAGGUGCAUAAUAAACAAAAAUACACCACAAACGCACUAUAUAUCUAUCAAUUCUACUCAUUUUAAUAACAAAUUUGACCCGGUUCCUUAAUAUCCAAAGUUUUGAAUGUUUGAAGAUGAUGGGUGCAUGUGCAUAGUUAUAGAGUUGUCAAUUGGGUUGCUUUCACUUAUUUGAUUGUUAUUCAUUUGGUAAAACACAACAAUUAUUUCAAACACUUCCAUAACUUUGUGCGUUUUCGUUGAAAGUUACAAUUGGUUAAUGCUAUCAUUAUGAUGGGGUAUAUGUGUCGUGUUUUGUUUUGUUAACUUUGUCGCGUAUCAUAGUUAGAAGGUAACUAAUCGGGGUGGUAUCAACGAUCUUGAUAGAGUGAUGGGGAAACAAUGAAAUAUAUUUUUCUAGCUAUCGGUAUAUCGAUUAUUAAAGCUAGCAUUAGAUUUACAUGUCACAAACGCAACAGCUGGGAUAUAUUUUUUGAUAAUGAAGUUUAUAAAGUCAAAUUUGUGCAAUUGAAUUGAUUCCUAAAAAUGGCAUUUAACUAAAUAAAAAUCCUUGCAAGUGUAACAACGAAAGUUGUAUGUUGUCAAAACAUAAAGACACUUUGGGAAACAAACGUAGUGUGUAGUUUAUUCAGGCGUUUAGGUCAACUUAAGACUUUACUAUCAAAUAAUAUAAUGAAAUUGGUAACGAUGGGAUGGAUUAAUGGAUGUAUGUAUGCAUUUGAUUAAAAUUUGUAUCAAGAACCAUGGCAUGGAUACAAAUUUAACCAUUCUGUUUACAUGGAUUUAGGAUUACCCAUUUUGUAUCUAGAACUAAUUUGUUCUGUUGUAGAUGUAAUUAAGUUUUAUGAAUAUGAACUUCAUUUUGUACAUUUUUAACCCAUUUCACUUUCAUGUGUUGUAAUUGGUAACGCCCUGCUGGCGUUAUGCGUAUAUAAUGUGUAUAUGUGUAGGCUAUCGGGGAGCAAAAGUGAAAGUGCACUAAUUUUAGCGUUAUUUUACUAAUUUCGUGAAAAUAACGUUAAAAGCUGAGGAAGGUUAAUCAUGCAUCAUGUGGUGGCGUUGAUAGCCGAAACUCUGAAAGACAAAAGGGUACAUGCACUAAUCGGUGUUUGUCCCGAUUGCUGAGUGUUAUGUGCCUUAUGUCCAAGGCUUGAUGCAAAACUACUAUCGAGCCGGGGGUCUCACUGGAAGCAGCCUCUCUAUUCCUACAGGGUAGAGGUAAGAUUGUCUACAUCUUACCCUUCUCAGACCCUACCUUUGCUUUGCUAUUCUUGGAAUUUACUUAGGGUAUACGGUGUGGGCGGCAAACCAGAUCGGCAAAUGGGUUUGCCGAGCGGUAACACCGCCGCCGACCCAUUUUGCCGAUCAGUAAGGUUGCAGAGCGGUGUGGGUUUGCCGCGCGGGAAGAGACCAUUUAGCACAUA